UGCAUCACUACCAGAUGGACCUGCGUUGUAUUAGCUAGUUGGUGGGGUAACGGCUCACCAAGGCGACGAUACAUAGCCGACCUGAGAGGGUGAUCGGCCACACUGGGACUGAGACACGGCCCAGACUCCUACGGGAGGCAGCAGUAGGGAAUCUUCGGCAAUGGACGGAAGUCUGACCGAGCAACGCCGCGUGAGUGAAGAAGGUUUUCGGAUCGUAAAGCUCUGUUGUAAGAGAAGAACGAGUGUGAGAGUGGAAAGUUCACACUGUGACGGUAUCUUACCAGAAAGGGACGGCUAACUACGUGCCAGCAGCCGCGGUAAUACGUAGGUCCCGAGCGUUGUCCGGAUUUAUUGGGCGUAAAGCGAGCGCAGGCGGUUAGAUAAGUCUGAAGUUAAAGGCUGUGGCUUAACCAUAGUACGCUUUGGAAACUGUUUAACUUGAGUGCAAGAGGGGAGAGUGGAAUUCCAUGUGUAGCGGUGAAAUGCGUAGAUAUAUGGAGGA
rnacentral:rRNA from 1 species